GAUGAACGCUGGCGGCGUGCCUAAUACAUGCCAGUCGAGCGAACAGACGAGGAGCUUGCUCCUCUGACGUUAGCGGCGGACGGGUGAGUAACACGUGGAUAACCUACCUAUAAGACUGGGAUAACUUCGGGAAACCGGAGCUAAUACCGGAUAAUAUAUUGAACCGCUUGGUUCAAUAGUGAAAGACGGUUUUGCCGUCACUUAUAGAUGGAUCCGCGCCGCAUUAGCUAGUUGGUAAGGUAACGGCUUACCAAGGCAACGAUGCGUAGCCGACCUGAGAGGGUGAUCGGCCACACUGGAACUGAGACACGGUCCAGACUCCUACGGGAGGCAGCAGUAGGGAAUCUUCCGCAAUGGGCGAAAGCUUGACGGAGCAACGCCGCGUGAGUGAUGAAGGUCUUCGGAUCGUAAAACUCUGUUAUUAGGGAAGAACAAAUGUGUAAGUAACUAUGCACGUCUUGACGGUACCUAAUCAGAAAGCCACGGCUAACUACGUG
rnacentral:rRNA from 1 species